AAAAGAGGGGAGUAGAGAGAGAGAGGGGAGUAGAGAGAGAGCGGAGUAAAGAGAGAGAGAGAGCGAGGGGAGUAGAGAGGGGAGUAGAGAAAGAGAGGGGAGUAGAGAGAGAGAGAGGGAAGUACAGAGAGAGAGGGGAAGAGAGGGGAGUAGAGAAAGAGAGGGGAGUAGAGAGAGAGAGAGAGGGAGUAGAGAGAGAGAGGGAGGAGAGAGAGGGGAGAGAGAGAGAGAGGGGAGUAGAGAGAGAGAGAGAGAGAGAGAGGGGAGAGAGCGAGAGGAGUAGAGAGAGCGAGGGGAGUAAAGAAAAAGAGGAGGAGAGAGAGCGAGGGGAGUAGAGAGAGAGAGAGAGAGGGGAGGAGAGAGGGGAGUAGAGAGAGAGCGGGGAGGAGAGAGAGAGCAAGAGAGAGAGAGAGAGGGGAGGAGAGAGGGGAGUAGAGAGAGAGAGGAGUAGAGAGAGCGAGAGGGAAGGGAGUAAAGAGAGAGAGAGAGAGGGGAGUAGAGAGAGAGAGGGAGUAGACAGAGAGAGGGAGUAGAGAGAGAGGGGAGUAGAGAGAGAGGGGAGUAGAGAGAGAGAGGAGUAGAGAGAGAGAGAGAGAGGUAGAGAGAGCGAGGGGAGGGGAGGGGAGAGAGGGGAGAAGAGAGAGAUGGGAGUAGAGAGAGAGAGGGGAAGAGAGAGAGAGGGGAGGAGAGAGGGGAGUAGAGAGAGAGAGGAGUAGAGAGAGCGAGAGGGAAGGGAGUAAAGAGAGAGAGAGAGAGAGGGGAGUAGAGAGAGAGAGGGGAGUAGACAGAGAGAGGGGAGUAGAGAGAGAGG
ensembl:lncRNA